UAUUAUUAAUUUCUCGCAGAUGU
rnacentral:snRNA from 1 species